rnacentral:rRNA from 1 species
GAUGAACGCUAGCGGCAGGCUUAAUACAUGCAAGUCGAGGGGCAGCACGGUUAGCAAUAACUGGUGGCGACCGGCGCACGGGUGCGUAACACGUAUACAAUCUACCUUAAACAGGGGGAUAGCCUUUCGAAAGAGAGAUUAAUACCCCGUAAUAAAUUGAACGGCAUCGUUUGAUUUUUGAAAGCUCCGGCGGUUUGAGAUGAGUAUGCGUCUGAUUAGCUAGUUGGUGAGGUAACGGCUCACCAAGGCGACGAUCAGUAGGGGAUCUGAGAGGACUAACCCCCCACACUGGUACUGAGACACGGACCAGACUCCUACGGGAGGCAGCAGUAAGGAAUAUUGGUCAAUGGAGGCAACUCUGAACCAGCCAUGCCGCGUGCAGGAUGACGGCCCUAUGGGUUGUAAACUGCUUUUAUACAAGAGAAAACCCUGGUACGUGUACCAGGUUGAUAGUAUUGUAAGAAUAAGCAUCGGCUAACUUCGUGCCAGCAGCCGCGGUAA